GUUGUGGAUAAACGUCGUAUUUAACCCUGGGUCCUGGCUGGCCGGCCCCCCUCACCGCGUGCCCUGGUCCGGCCGGGCCUUUCCCUCUGCGGAACCCCGGCCCUUCACUGGGUGGGGCGGGAAAACAGGACUUUUACUUUAAAAAAUUUAGAGUGCUCAGGGCCGGCCUAUGCUCAAAUACUUUACCAGGAAAAAAUAGAAUAGGACUGGGGGUUUUUUUUUUUUGUUUCCUCGGCCCCCCUAAAUGAUAAAAAGGGACGGCGGGGGGCUUCUUUUUUCAUUUGUGAAAGGUGAAUUUUUUGGAUUUAUUGAAAAUUAAUUACUGCAAAAUUUUUGCUAAGGAUUUUUUCCUUAAUCAGGAACGAAAGUUAGGGGGAAAAAUGAUUCCCACAUCCCCCUCAUACUCAUCACCAUCCACUACGGCGACGAGAGAGGAGAAUAUGUUAUUUUUUCCACCUCGUCACCAUACAAAAAGAAAUCUUUCUGGUUGCGGUCCAGGGUGAGGUGGUCGGAUGACUGUUAAUUAAAUUCACUGACCGAACCACAACUCCAUGGAUGGAGCCUGCGGCUUCACUCGACUCAGCAAGCUCAACUCGUCAAGACACAAAGAAAAUGGAGAGAGUGAGACCUCUUUCUCAUUUUCGGGUAUGGUGGUUCAUGGUCCAUGAUAGUACUGCAUUGGAUUUGUCACUAGACUGCAAAAUUGAGAUAACGCAUAACCAUCAAACCCGCGGCAUAGCUUGGGCUGAUCUGGUUUCUGCGGGACACAAGAUUGACUCUCAGAAAAUUCAACAUAACUCGCUGAAUCCCUGAAAAUUCUGCCCUAGCGCGCAGGCACACUACAGGAAUAUCUUGAUCAAU
rnacentral:rRNA from 1 species